AGGAGUUUAGGUUAACCCCAGACCAAGAGCCUUCAAAGCUCUAAGUAAACAAUGACUGUUUAACUCCUG
rnacentral:tRNA from 1 species